rnacentral:rRNA from 1 species
UUCAUUCCGCGUGCAGGACGAAGGCCUUCGGGUUGUAAACUGCUUUUGUACGGAACGAAAAAGCCUUGGUUAAUACCCAGGGUCCAUGACGGUACCGUAAGAAUAAGCACCGGCUAACUACGUGCCAGCAGCCGCGGUAAUACGUAGGGUGCAAGCGUUAAUCGGAAUUACUGGGCGUAAAGCGUGCGCAGGCGGUUAUAUAAGACAGAUGUGAAAUCCCCGAGCUUAACUUGGGAACUGCAUUUGUGACUGUAUAGCUAGAGUACGGCAGAGGGGGAUGGAAUUCCGCGUGUAGCAGUGAAAUGCGUAGAUAUGCGGAGGAACACCGAUGGCGAAGGCAAUCCCCUGGGCCUGUACUGACGCUCAUGCACGAAAGCGUGGGGAGCAAACAGGAUUAGAUACCCUGGUAGUCCACGCCCUAAACGAUGUCAACUGGUUGUAGGGUCUUCACUGACUCAGUAACGAAGCUAACGCGUGAAGUUGACCGCCUGGGGAGUACGGACGCAAGGUUGAAACUCAAAGGAAUUGACGGGGAACCGAACAAGCGGUGGAUGAUGUGGAUUAAUUCGAUGC